CGGCGACUCAACAUCACCCUGGGCCGGCGACUCAACAUCACCCUGGGCCGGCGCCUCAGGGCUCGUGCAUCAACGGCUCACCUCAGCAUUGCCCUGGGCUGUCGCACCUCAACACCACGGCUCAACAUCACAACUCGGCAUCACAAUGGGCCAUCGCCUCAGCAUCGCACUGGGCUGUCGCCCCAACUUUAACGCCAGUCACCUGGUUGUAUCGGUAUCCUCAUCCAUCCUGCAUGACAAACUUAUCGCAGCUACCCACUGGUAGCGAGUAGGAGUUUAUGUCUAUUUUGAUAUGCCGUUUUUGUUCUGGUGCCGUUAUUCAGUGAUGUUUCAGCUUUCUGCUCUGUCCCUCUCAGGUCUCGAUAACCGGCUCUCCAACUCUCCUCUGUCGUAAGCUCGCACUUUCUGCAUUCUCCUGACGAAGGUGCCACCCUUUUUUAUUGCUAGUCUAAUCAUGCAGUUACCGCAAGUUGUUUCUCUCAACCAACCAGGGCAUCCGCCCCACUGCCUGUGUCCAUGCCUGCUUUGCACAAGCAUUCACCGCGCCACACCGCGUAGGUGUUUAUCAUAACUGACAUGGUGUUAUUAUUCUUGGUCGAGAUGUUUUCUUGGUGUUUCAUUCAUUGUUCGUUUCAGCUACAAGCUCUGCUCUCUCCCUCUCUUAGGUCAUGAUUACCAGUUGUCUGCCGAUUCUCCUCUGUUUUAACCUGACCUUUCUGCUAUCCUGGCCGAGGUGCUCGUCUUUUAAUGUUAGCCACUCAUGCUUUGUCUAAAGCUGUCUCUCUCACCACUCUGGGCAGACGCCCGCAUAGUGCAGGCUUUCAGCCGCUGGUCUGACGCAGUGCAUCUUGCAUUCGGCUCAUUCCUCGCUUUGUCAUCUGGCUCAGUGUACUGUUUCUGUUCUGUUAACUCUGUUUCGUUCUUCUCGUUCCUCGCCCAAGAGGUAUACAGCACGCUCGUUCAGAAUCGGCGUGGCCACCACGGCCGCUAAGCGGGGUCUGUCCCCUACUGCGAUCAAGGCGCUGGGCCGUUGGUCGUCUGGCGCAUACGCUUCCUGCAUUUGCCUCACUCCUCAUCACCUCGUUGAAGCAUGCUAUAUCUGGUCUGUAACUUUAUGUUUUCUAUUCUCAUUUCUGGUGACGGUGGUAUUUUGCUGCACCGGCGGCAUUCACUCCAUCUCUUGGGGGGCUAUCGCUCCGGUCACCCGGUCAUGUCUGUAUUCUAUCCUUCUCUCAUCUAUCAGAUCGAUUUUAUAGUGGUCCGUAAGCCUGUUAUCUCUAUAUUUUGUAACAUUGAACCAGCCUAGUUGCCAUGGUUGUUUAUCUAUGAUGUCAACUAUCAUACCACAUAUUAUAGCCUACAUUCAUUCAUCCAUCCAUUCAUUUACUCAUUCAUCACCAUGUUCUACUCUCUCUCCUAGGUCACGAUUCCGGCUCUCUACCUACUGUCAUAAUCUAAGUUUUCAGCGCUCUCCUGACCAAGGUGCAUCUAUCAAUCAAAUCAUAACGCUCUGCUGUGUCUCUGCUCUCAGCGCAUCCGCGCCAUGUCUUCUCGCAUAGCCUAAGAUGGUGUCUCCUUGUAAGCGGUAGUUAAGCCGAUUUUGAAGCCACCACCACCCCUCCGUCCACCGUCACCAGAGGUUCCCGUCUGUUAGGGGGCAGGCUACGCCCGCCUCCAUCUCCGCUGGAGGAUAUGCUGUCCUAUCCCGGAGUUCAACGCGAAGACGGGAACCUUCGCCAAACUGAUUCAUGCAUUUUAUCAAGUGUUAUUGUUCGCCAAACUUUUAUGCAUUCCUGUAUCAUGUCUAAUGUUCAAUAAAUGUUAAUAACGUU